GCGGCGUGCUUAACACAUGCAAGUCAACGAGAAAAGGGUAGCAAUACUCUGAGUAAAGUGGCGCACGGGUGAGUAAUAUGUAAGUAAUCUGCCCUUGGCUUUGGAAUAACGCAGAGAAAUUUGCGCUAAUACCGAAUAAUGCAGCGGCAUCGCAUGAUGAUGUUGUUAAAGUUGCAGCAAUGUAACGGCUAGGGAUGAGCUUGCAUCUGAUUAGCUAGUUGGUAGGGUAACGGCCUACCAAGGCUACGAUCAGUAGCUGGUCUGAGAGGAUGAUCAGCCACACUGGAACUGAGACACGGUCCAGACUCCUACGGGAGGCAGCAGUGAGGAAUAUUGGGCAAUGCCCGCAAGGGUGACCCAGCAACGCCGCGUGGAGGAUGAAUGCCGUAAGGUUGUAAACUCCUGUGAGAUGGGAUGAAAGUGCAUAAUUCGUAAGGGUUAUGCUUUGACCGUACCAUCAGAGGAAACCCCGGCUAACUACGUGCCAGCAGCCGCGGUAAUACGUAGGGGGUAAGCGUUGUCCGGAUUUACUGGGUGUAAAGGGCGCGUAGGCGGGCCCGUAAGUCAGAGGUGAAAGCCUG
rnacentral:rRNA from 1 species